GGGUUGUGAGGUUAAGCGACUAAGCGUACACGGUGGAUGCCCUGGCAGUCAGAGGCGAUGAAGGACGUGCUAAUCUGCGAUAAGCGUCGGUAAGGUGAUAUGAACCGUUAUAACCGGCGAUUUCCGAAUGGGGAAACCCAGUGUGAUUCGUCACACUAUCAUUAACUGAAUCCAUAGGUUAAUGAGGCGAACCGGGGGAACUGAAACAUCUAAGUACCCCGAGGAAAAGAAAUCAACCGAGAUUCCCCCAGUAGCGGCGAGCGAACGGGGAGGAGCCCAGAGCCUGAAUCAGUGUGUGUGUUAGUGGAAGCGUCUGGAAAGGCGCGCGAUACAGGGUGACAGCCCCGUACACAAAAAUGCACAUGCUGUGAGCUCGAUGAGUAGGGCGGGA
rnacentral:rRNA from 1 species